rnacentral:rRNA from 1 species
UCCAAACGACUCUCGGCAACGGAUAUCUCGGCUCUCGCAUCGAUGAAGAACGUAGCGAAAUGCGAUACUUGGUGUGAAUUGCAGAAUCCCGUGAACCAUCGAGUCUUUGAACGCAAGUUGCGCCCGAAGCCGUCAGGCCAAGGGCACGUCUGCCUGGGCGUCAC